rnacentral:tRNA from 1 species
GUUUUAAUAAUUUAAAUAAAAUAUUGGUCUUGUAAACCAAAAAUAAGGUCUAACCUUUUAAAACU